CCAGGACUAGGGCUGCCUGCGUGGCGGCCGAGAACAGCGGGCCUUGGUGAGUGGGUCGAGUAUGGAAAGGGACGCGCUGUCACCUCCCUGAAUCCAAUGACGCGGGCCCGACCUCCGCUCGCACCUCUCACCCGAGUUUCCGCCGCGGUCCCUGCAGAUCCACGCCCCUCCGCGCACGUGCACCUUCCCAGAGGUUCCACCCGGGCUCCCCUAGUACUUGGUGCCGAACUCUUUCCUUGAACCCCUCCCUCUUUCUGAUCUGCGGGACUAUUCCCUGGUCUUUGGAAUCUCAGGCUGGAAAAGACCGAUUCUCCUAUUGGUUUAGCCCGUCGCAUGUAUGCAUUGGGCAGGAGUGACAGAUCUAGGGAGGUGAGGUUGGAAGAGCUGGAGGUCAGCAAUGACGCGUCCAGGCUGAAGGAACACAGCUUGGGAAGCCAGGGGACAAUGAAAUUGGAAGCUAAGGCUAACAUUCUCUGGAUGGCACCUCUGUCUCCUGCCAGGAAACACGCCCUCUGCUUCCUGCCUGGAUCUCUCUCACCACUGUUCCUGCUCUAGGGACACUUACCCAUGUUCUCUUACUCCUCUAGAACCCUCCACUGACCCCUUUGGUCUGGGUGUAAGUUUGGUCCCUGAAUCCCCAGCAGGGUCUGGCUUCCAGACUGCAGAAUUUGCCAUGGGGACUCCUCAUGACAGCCAAGGUCUGUGGGGCAGGCAUCAUGCCCAGUAGUUUCUGUUGCCCUGUCUACAGCCUCAGACAGCACUUUCAUUAGCACCAAUUGGAGGCUGGUACCUCAGAGUCCCACAAGAACCUGCUGAGAGCAGCACUCGCUGUCUUCCAGUGUCACGGCAUCCGUGGGGUUUGAGGGAUGUCAGGACCCUGGAGAGAUGGCCGGGGCAGCCUCAGCAAGGACAGCCACAUGCAGCUAGAGAGCAGUCAUCUAGGGGUAAGGGUUGCUCAGCCUCACCGGAGGCAAAGGCCAGAAGCCCGGUCUUCUCUGUCCCAUGCAGUGACAGAUGAUGCUCUGCAGUGCACCAGGCAGUGGAGUGCUAUCUGUCAGCUAUGUUUUCAGUCUAGGGCUUUGAAACUAGGUAACAGUUUUGUUGCCCUCAUCUCAGACCUAUCAGUGUGUGUUGCUGAAGGCUGCUGUUGAAGCACUGGUAAACAGCCUCUGCUCCUGCUGGUCAGAAA
rnacentral:lncRNA from 1 species